rnacentral:rRNA from 1 species
GUCCACACGGUAAACGAUGAAUACUCGCUGUUUGCGAUAUACAGCAAGCGGCCAAGCGAAAGCGUUAAGUAUUCCACCUGGGGAGUACGCCGGCAACGGUGAAACUCAAAGGAAUUGACGGGGCCGCACAAGCGGAGGAACAUGUGGUUUAAUUCGAUGAUACGCGAGGAACCUUACCCGGGCGUUAAUUAGCAGAUGAAUUACGUGAAAGCCGUAGCGCAAGGCAUCUGUGAAGGUGCUGCAUGGUUGUCGU